AAUGUUAUUUUUAAGUCUACAGAUUUUGCAGUUUCUCCGAACAUUCACAGCUCAAGUUCCUGUAACAAACCCCGGAACUGGGAGAAGAUCGGUGGGAGGACUCUAUUACCUUUAGUAUCUGGACCGGAACAUGCUGUUGGGUAGAGCCGUCGGUGGUGGCGGAGUAUUUGUGUUUACGAAAGCUCAACCACUUCAGCUGUAAAGAAUGAGGACUGGAAACAAUCCAAC